CACGUAGGCGGAUUGCUAAGUCAGGGGUGAAAUCCUGGAGCUCAACUCCAGAACUGCCCUUGAUACUGGCGACCUCGAGUCCGGGAGAGGUGAGUGGAACUGCGAGUGUAGAGGUGAAAUUCGUAGAUAUUCGCAAGAACACCAGUGGCGAAGGCGGCUCACUGGCCCGGUACUGACGCUGAGGUGCGAAAGCGUGGGGAGCAAACA
rnacentral:rRNA from 1 species